CCAAUAGCGUAUAUUAAAGUUGUUGCAGUUAAAAAGCUCGUAGUUGAAUUUCGGGAUCAGUACGCUGGUCAUGCCUUUGGUAUGCACUGGUGUCACUGGUUUCUCCCUUCUGAAGAACCGUGAUGUCAUUAAUUUGGUGUCGCGGGGAAUCAGGACUGUUACUUUGAGAAAAUUAGAGUGUUUAAAGCAGGCUCACGCUUGAAUACAUUAGCAUGGAAUAAUGAAAUAGGACGUUUGACCCUAUUUUGUUGGUUUCUAGGAUCGACGUAAUGAUUAGUAGGGAUAGUUGGGGGCAUUAGUAUUCAAUUGUCAGAGGUGAAAUUCUUGGAUUUAUUGAAGACUAACUACUGCGAAAGCAUUUGCCAAGGAUGUUUUCAUUAAUCAAGAACGAAAGUUAGGGGAUCGAAGACGAUCAGAUACCGUCGUAGUCUUAACCAUAAACUAUGCCGACUAGGGAUCGGAUGAUGUUAAUUUUAUAAUGACUCAUUCGGCGCCUUACG
rnacentral:rRNA from 1 species